rnacentral:rRNA from 1 species
CCUACGGGAGGCAGCAGUGGGGAAUAUUGCACAAUGGGGGAAACCCUGAUGCAGCAACGCAGCGUGAGUGAUGACGGCCUUCGGGUUGUAAAGCUCUGUCUUCAGGGACGAUAAUGACGGUACCUGUGGAUGAAGUCACGUAGAACUAUGUGCCAGCCGCCGUGGUAAUACGUAGGUGGCGUGCGUUGUCCUGAUUUACUGGGCGUUAAGGGCGCUUAGGCAGUAUUUUAAGUGCGAUGUGAAAUACUCGGGCUCAACUUGAGUGCUGCAUUUCAAACUGGAAGUCUAGAGUGCAGGAGAGGAGAAUGGAAUGCCUAGGGUAGCGGUGAAAUGCGUAGAGAUUAGGAAGAACACCAGUGGCGAAGGCGAUUCUCUGGACUAUAACUGACGCUGAGGCUCGAAAGCGUGGGGAGCAAACAGGAUUAGAUACCCCUGUAGUG